CAAGUGCUGUAUAUAACAAGCGAAGAACAUACGCCACUCAUCAAAACACAAAGAUGGCGAUCAAAGCUCUGUUGAUGGCGAUGAUGAUGUAUGCCCUCAUCCUCGUGGCCAAGAAAGCUGACAUGCCUGAUCAGCCUACCACUCCAUGUCCAAUGUCACAAACAUCCACGUAAAGUCUUAGAGUCCACGGCUUUCUCAGAACCUCGAAAUCCAGGAUCUAGAAUCUGCCUAAAUGUGAUGUAAAUCUCCAUAUUUUAAAUUAUAAUUGUAUACAUAUAUUCUCUCUCUAUCUAUCUAUCUAAUUGUCUGUCUAUACAUCUAUCUAUUUAUCUGUCUAUCUAUCUCUCUCUCU